UACGUAGGUGGCAAGCGUUAUCCGGAAUACUGGGCGUAAAGCGCACGCAGGCGGUCUUUUAAGUUUGACGUGAAAGCUCCCGGCUUAACUGGGAGAGGUCGUUGAAGACUGGAAGACUUGAGGCAAUGAGAGGGGUGUAGAAUUCCCGGUGUAGUGGUGGAAUGCGUAGAUAUCGGGGGGGAAUACCAGUGGCGAAAGCGGCACCCUAGCGUUAGCCUGACGCUCAUGUGCGAAAGCGUGGGGAGCAAGAGGG
rnacentral:rRNA from 1 species